GAGUUUGAUCGUGGCUCAGGAUGAACGCUGGCGGCGUGCUUAACACAUGCAAGUCGAACGGAAAGGCCCUUGCUUGCAAGGGUGGCUUGAGUGGCGAACGGGUGAGUAACACGUAGGUGAUCUGCCUUUCACUUCGGGAUAAGCUUGGGAAACUGGGUCUAAUACCGGAUAUUCACGGCACCGUGGUUGGUGUGGUGGAAAGCUUUUGCGGUGGGAGGAUGAGCUUGCGGCCUAUCAGCUUGUUGGUGGGGUAAUGGCCUACCAAGGCGGCGACGGGUAGCCGGCCUGAGAGGGUGUGCGGCCACAUUGGGACUGAGAUACGGCCCAGACUCCUACGGGAGGCAGCAGUGGGGAAUUUUGCACAAUGGGCGGAAGCCUGAUGCAGCGACGCCGUGU
rnacentral:rRNA from 1 species